AUUUUUAUACGACCGCAAAAAAAUUUUUGUGGUCGUAUAUUGGUAUGACGUUGGCGUCGUCGUCGUCGUCCGAAGACACAUUGGUUUUCGCACUCUAACUUUAGUUUAAGUGAAUGGAUCUUUAUGAAAUUUUACCACAAGGUUCAAUACCACAAAAGGAAGGUUGGGAUUGAUUUUGGGGGUUAUGGUAAUAACAGUAAAGGAAUUAGGGGCCAAAAAGGGGCCAAAAAUAAGCAUUUUUGUAACUUCCAGACAUAACUUGUGUGUUAGUGUAUGGAUCUCUCUGACAUUGUACCACAAGGUUCCAUAUCACUAAAGGAAUGCUGGGAUUGAUUUUGGGGGUAAUUGCCUCCAAAUUUUAGGAAUUAGGGGCCAAAAAAGGGGCAAAAAACAAGCAUUUUUCUAGUUUCAUGACAAUAACUUGUGUGUAAGUGUAUGGAUCUUUCUGAAAUUGUACUACAAGGUUCCAUAUCACAAAGGGAAAGCUGGGUUUGAGUUUGGGGGUAAUUGCCCUAAACGUUUAGGAAUUUGGGGCCAAAAAGGGGCCAAAAAACACAUUUUUUUCUAGUUUCCAGACAAUAACUUGUGUUCAAGUGUAUGGAUCUCUCUGAAAUUGUACUGCAAGGUACCAUACCACAAAGGGAAGGCUGGGAUUGAGUUUGGGGGUGAUGAAUCAUAAUGGGGGUUCAAAAAAUUUUGGGGGGGGAUUUAUUUUUUUUUCCUUUUUUUUUCUUUUUUUCUUUUUUUGUUUCUUUUAAAAUUUUCCAUUUUAAGUUGGUUAUUUCUGAUUUAUAUUUAAAAUCAAAUAAUAAUGAUAUGGUAGGAGAUACACACCAAACAGGAUGUGUAAAUUAUUAUAUAAUAAGUAUUGUGCAAUAGCAAGAAAUUUUCAAUUGCACAGUAUUGCACAAUAGCAAGAAAUCUUCAAUUGCACAGUAUUGCGCAAUAGCAAGAAAUCUUCAAUUGCACAGUAUUGCGCAAUAGCAAGAAAUAUCCAAUAGCACAAUAUUGCGCAAUAGCAAGAAAUUGUCAAUUGUACAGUAUUGCGCAAUAGCAAGAAAUAUUUAAUAGCACAGGAUUGUGCAAAAGAAGAUACUUCCUAUAAAUUGCUUAUUUCUUGACCAAUUUCAAUGGGGUUUUAUUCUUGAUUCAAUGGGGUUCUUUAAUAUGCUGAAUCUAACCGUGUAUUUAGUUUUUGGAUUUUGGGCCCUGUUUUUAAAUUGGUCCACAUUGAGGUCCAAAGGGUCCAAAAUUAAACUUUGUUUGAUUUCAUCAAAAAUUGAAUUAUUGGGGUUCUUUGAUAUGCCGAAUCUAACUGUGUAUUUAGAUUCUUAAAUUUUGGUUCCGUUUUCAAAUUGGUCUACAUUAAGGUCCAAAGGGUCCAAAAUUAAACUUAGUUUGAUUUUAACAAAAAUUGAAUUCUUAGGGUUCUUUGAUAUGCUGAAUCUAAACAUGUAUUUAGAUUUUUGAUUAUGGGCCCAGUUUUCAAGUUGGUCCAAAUCGGGGUCCAAAAUUAAACUUUGUUUGAUUUCAACAAAAAUUGAAUAUAUGGGGUUCUUUGAUAUGCUGAAUCUAACCAUGUAUUUAGAUUUUUGAUUUUUGGGCCCCGUUAUCAACUUUGUCCACAUUGAGGUCAAAAGGGUCCAAAAUUAAACUUUGUUUGAUUUCAUCAAAAAUUGAAUUAUUGGGGUUCUUUGAUAUGCCGAAUCUAACCGUGUAUUUAGAUUCUUAAUUUUUGGUUCCGUUUUCAAAUUGGUCUACAUUAAGGUCCAAAGGGUCCAAAAUUAAACUUAGUUUGAUUUUAACAAAAAUUGAAUUCUUAGGGUUCUUUGAUAUGCUGAAUCUAAACAUGUAUUUAGAUUUUUGAUUAUGGGCCCAGUUUUCAAGUUGGUCCAAAUCGGGGUCCAAAAUUUAACUUUGUUUGAUUUCAACAAAAAUUGAAUAUAUGGGGUUCUUUGAUAUGCUGAAUCUAACCAUGUAUUUAGAUUUUUGAUUUUUGGGCCCCGUUAUUAACUUUGUCCACAUUGAGGUCAAAAGGGUCCAAAAUUAAAAUUUGUUUGAUUUCAUCAAAAAUUGAAUUAUUGGGGUUCUUUGAUAUGCCGAAUCUAACCGUUUAUUUAGAUUCUUAAUUUUUGGUUCCGUUUUCAAAUUGGUCUACAUUAAGGUCCAAAGGGUCCAAAAUUAAACUUAGUUUGAUUUUAACAAAAAUUGAAUUCUUAGGGUUCUUUGAUAUGCUGAAUCUAAACAUGUAUUUAGAUUUUUGAUUAUGGGCCCAGUUUUCAAGUUGGUCCAAAUCGGGGUCCAAAAUUAAACUUUGUUUGAUUUCAACAAAAAUUGAAUAUAUGGGGUUCUUUGAUAUGCUGAAUCUAACCAUGUAUUUAGAUUUUUGAUUUUUGGGCCCCGUUAUCAACUUUGUCCACAUUGAGGUCAAAAGGGUCCAAAAUUAAACUUUGUUUGAUUUCAUCAAAAAUUGAAUUAUUGGGGUUCUUUGAUAUGCCGAAUCUAACCGUGUAUUUAGAUUCUUAAUUUUUGGUUCCGUUUUCAAAUUGGUCUACAUUAAGGUCAAAAGGGUCCAAAAUUAAACUUUGUUUGAUUUCAUCAAAAAUUGAAUUCUUGGGGUUCUUUGAUAUGCUGAAUCUAACCAUGUAUUUAGAUUUUGGAUAUUGGACCAUAAUAGGUGAAUGUGCAAUUUAA